rnacentral:rRNA from 1 species
AUUGAACGCUGGCGGCAGGCCUAACACAUGCCAGUCGAGCGGAUGAAGGGAGCUUGCUCCUGGCUUCAGCGGCGGACGGGUGUGUAAUGCCUAGGAAUCUGCCUGGUAGUGGGGGAUAACGUCCGGAAACGGGCGCUAAUACCGCAUACGUCCUGAGGGAGAAAGUGGGGGAUCUUCGGACCUCACGCUAUCAGAUGAGCCUAGGUCGGAUUAGCUAGUUGGUGGGGUAAAGGCCUACCAAGGCGACGAUCCGUAACUGGUCUGAGAGGAUGAUCAGUCACACUGGAACUGAGACACGGUCCAGACUCCUACGGGAGGCAGCAGUGGGGAAUAUUGGACAAUGGGCGAAAGCCUGAUCCAGCCAUGCCGCGUGUGUGAAGAAGGUCUUCGGAUUGUAAAGCACUUUAAGUUGGGAGGAAGGGCAGUAAGUUAAUACCUUGCUGUUUUGACGGUACCAACAGAAUAAGCACCGGCUAACUUCGUG